rnacentral:rRNA from 1 species
UGUAGGCGGAACGGUAAGUACUUUGUGAAAUCCCCGGCUUCAAUCCGGGAACUGCUUGGUAUACUGCCGUUCUUGAGGCAGGUAGGGGUCACUGGAACCUUAGGUGGAGCGGUGAAAUGCGUAGAUAUCUAAGGGAACGCCUGUGGCGAAAGCGGGUGACUGGGCCUGACCUGACGCUGAGACGCGAAAGCGUAGGGAGCAAACGGGAUUAGAUACCCCGGUAGUCUACGCCGUAAACGAUGCGCACUAGGUUCGAGUACUACUGACGGUUCUCGUGCCGAAACAAAAGCGUUAAGUGCGCCGCCUGGGGAGUACGGCCGCAAGGCUAAA